CGGGGGGGGCAAGCGUUGUUCGGAAUUACUGGGCGUAAAGGGCGCGUAGGCGGCCUGCUAUGUCACACGUGAAAUCCCUCGGCUCAACCGGGGAACUGCGUGUGAUACUGGCGGGCUUGAAUUCGGGAGAGGGAUGUGGAAUUCCAGGUGUAGCGGUGAAAUGCGUAGAUAUCUGGAGGAACACCGGUGGCGAAGGCGGCAUCCUGGACCGAGAUUGACGCUGAGGCGCGAAAGCUAGGGUAGCAAACGGGAUUAGAUACCCCGGUAGUCCUAGCCCUAAACGAUGAGUGCUUGGUGUGGCGGGUAUCGAUCCCUGCCGUGCCGAAGCUAACGCAUUAAGCACUCCGCCUGGGGAGUACGGUCGCAAGGCUG
rnacentral:rRNA from 1 species